rfam:Patagioenas fasciata monilis isolate BTP2013 Sc31e1R_71, whole genome shotgun sequence.
GACAAGGUGGCCAAGUGGUAAAGGUGAUCAACUGGUAAUCCAUUGUGCUGUGUACCUCUGGGUUCAUAUCCCAUCCUCAUCU